rnacentral:rRNA from 1 species
AUUGAACGCUGGCGGCAUGCUUUACACAUGCAAGUCGAACGGCAGCGGGGAGGUGCUUGCACCUCUGCCGGCGAGUGGCGAACGGGUGAGUAAUGUAUCGGAACGUGCCCAGUAGUGGGGGAUAACUACUCGAAAGAGUAGCUAAUACCGCAUGAGAUCUCUGGAUGCAAGCGGGGGACCGUAAGGCCUCGCGCUACUGGAGCGGACGCUAUCAGAUUAGGUAGUUGGUGGGGUAAAGGCCUACCAAGCCUGCGAUCUGUAGUGGGUCUGAGAGGACGACCAGCCACACUGGGACUGAGACACGGCCCAGACUCCUACGGGAGGCAGGAGUGGGGAAUUUUGGACAAUGGGCGCAAGCCUGAUCCAGCAAUGCCGCGUGCAGGAUGAAGGCCUUCGGGUUGUAAACUGCUUUUGUACAGAACGAAAAGCUCUUCUCUAAUACAGAGGGGUCAUGACGGUACUGUAAGAAUAAGCACCGGCUAACUACGUGCCAGCAGCCGCAGUAA